GGACAACAUAACUAAUCAGUGUUCUUUAUAUUGAAUAUCGAAACAGAAAGGAGAAAGAGGAUGUCAGCUUCAAGAACCAUGUUAUACAUUGGUUUGAAGUGUUGGAUGAUCUAUUGGGACCUUACUGGAAAGCUAUUUGAUUGGCUUUUAACUGCACUUUUCUUCUCUUUGGAUCUGUCAUUCAACUUACUGUGCCAGUAAUAUAUAUUACAUAAAUGAUAAGUUAGACAAGAGGACAAGGA